rnacentral:piRNA from 1 species
UCCUACGUGGAAAAGAUGACUGAAUUGCUG